UCCACCAUCGGUGAGUCGAAGCCAAUUGGAGAGACAGGAAUAGUCCGAUUGUUACGCCGCAAACUUUCGCCUUUUCCUGUGUCGGGGCUCUCGAUGCUGCAGACCUGACCGGCAGGAAGGAGAGCCUCCCCAGGGGACCAUGUGCACCACGCUGAUGGUCCUGACCAGCAUCGGCCUCAUCUUGCGGCACAGAUUCUCCAGCAGAAUCAACCCGCAGAAGGAGGAAGAGGUGCCGUACGAGAAGAGCAACCAAGCAGCAGACAGAAAAUGACAGUGACAAACACCAGGAGGACGAAACAUGUGAGCAAUUAUGCAGUAUUGUGAGCAACGGGCUUGUGCAAUCACGUCCAGCGCCAGCGGUCCCUGAAACAUGUCGGCGUGCUCCGCCACUCAACUGGAUGGUAGUGGUCUGCACCAGAGUCCCACCGGGACGGAAGUACAACAACAUGUCUGAUCUGCCGUGCAGAUACCCUCUCUUCUGCAACAACAAGUAAUUUUUUUGGGAGCAGUUCCAGUUUGGAGAGUCCUGUGUUUGUGCGCCAGAUUGCUUUUAAUUGUCAUUUGAUGCGAGGCCUUGUUUACGGCUAAAAUCUCCAAAACUGGAACUGAGUUUUCUUGUAAAAUUAACAAAAUCCAGAAAGGUCGAGUAAAUCUUCAAAAUUGAUUGUUUUUGCUGACUCGGUGAAGAAGGAAUUUCCUGAGCAUGAACCGCAGCUUAGAACGAGGAUUAGUGUUAAUGCGGGUCAUGUGUGCGUCUUUGCAGGGGUCCCAUUUUGCCGGGAAUAAGUCAAAAUUCAAACGGAAUUUUACCGCAAACGUGUUCCUAGCCGCCUUCUGCUCCGUCACUGACAAGAAUAUAACGGCAUAGUUCCCCAUGAGUGCUGGUCUUGUAAAACAGACAUACUAGGUUCAAUCCAGCUACUACCAUAGUUUUUGGGCUAUAGAGUUCACCAGUAUUUAAGCCAUACCCACCAUUUUUCUAAAUAAAAAAAUAGUUUUACAUAUAUUAGCCUCACCAGACCAUAAGCCGAAAUAUUUUGUAAAUGUUUAUUUACAUACCUUAUUUGUUUCCAAACUGUGUCUGUAACAGGGCAGUAAAACGGGUGAUCAAACAAAACAGACGUCAUGGUCAUGGACCCGCUAGCUGCAGAAGCUCGCUCUCUCCGAUCAGCUAAACAGACUCAAUAACUCCACGGUGACGUUUUGGUGAAUUUACAAAACCGAAACAAUACAAUACAGACACUCGUUAUCGUGUUAGCAUAUUAGCUAAUGCCAACGAAGCUAGCUUGAUUGCAUUACGAUAGCACGUACAAACAUGCAUGAAAACACUGCUGCAGACGUCACACAUGGGACGGUUUAGUAGGUCAGAAUUGUUUUAGUUAUAUUGUAAAACUUGGAGCGAUGAAUGAAGAAUCCAUACGAGUAGAAACGCGAUGGACGAUUAGAAGACGAAACGGGUUGUACUUCUAGGAGGAAGUACAUUUCCUGGAGUGAGCGAACUCGUCCACAAUAUGGCGCCGUAGCACAAACGACACACCUUUUCAGCGUCUGUUGAAAAAUAUUUGUUGAAUACAAAACAUCAUGGCCGUUAGCGAAGAAAAAUCCAUAAAUUAAACACACCAUUUUGAAAGCCACAGGGUGCAAAGCGUAGGAAAAAAGUAGCGGCUUAUAGUCCACCAAAUACGGUCAUUUAUGCUCAGUGUGAUAUUUCCAGUAUUUGGAAAAUUACUUUUACAAAGUAAUUAUAGCUACUCUGCCAAAAAAAAAAAGUAAUUGAAUUGCUCACAUGAUUACUCUUUAGUAAUGUAAUUAACUAAGAGUUAAGUCAAUAUUGCGUUACUUAAAAACAACUUUAAAUAUCUGGCAAAUGCAGCUGAGAUAUUUCAUGAAAGCUGUGUGUGUGUGUGUGUGUGUGUGUGUGUGUGUGUGUGUGUGUGUGUGUGUGUGUGUGUGUGUGUGUGUGUGUGUGUGUGUGUGUGUGUGUGUGUGUGUGUGUGUGUGUGUGUGUGUGUGCCUUUAAAAGGCUAAGUGACGUGUGACAUCAGCGCCCAGACAAAGCAGCAUUAGCUCUGCUUUGUUUGUUAGCUUAGCAGCAGCAUUUUGCUGGCAACAACAGCAGCCAUGUUGAAUGUUUUCACUUUAUUGUGUUAGCGCUAGCUAAUAAAGAGAUUGAAUCUGCUUCCA